GUCGUGGCUCAGUGGUAAGUGUAUCUGCUUUGCUUACAGAAUGCCCCAGGUUUAAUCCCUGGCAUCUCCA